CAGUAGCCGCGGGAAUACGUAGGGUGCGAGCGUUAAUCGGAAUUACUGGGCGUAAAGCGUGCGCAGGCGGUUGUGUAAGACAGGUGUGAAAUCCCCGGGCUUAACCUGGGAACUGCGCUUGUGACUGCACAGCUAGAGUAUGGCAGAGGGGGGUGGAAUUCCACGUGUAGCGGUGGAAUGCGUAGAGAUGUGGAGGAACACCAGUGGCGAAGGCGACUCUCUGGUCUGUAACUGACGCUGAGGAGCGAAAGCGUGGGGAGCGAACAGGAUUAGAUACCCCGGUAGUCCCUGUCUCUUAUAC
rnacentral:rRNA from 1 species